rnacentral:rRNA from 1 species
UACGUAGGGGGCAAGCGUUGUCCGGAUUUAUUGGGCGUAAAGAGCGUGUAGGCGGCCUGAAAGGUCAGCUGUGAAAACUCGGGGCUUAACCCCGGGCCUGCAGUGGGUACGGGCAGACUAGAGUGCGGUAGGGGAGACUGGAAUUCCUGGUGUAGCGGUGAAAUGCGCAGAUAUCAGGAGGAACACCGGUGGCGAAGGCGGGUCUCUGGGCCGUAACUGACGCUGAGGAGCGAAAGCGUGGGGAGCGAACAGG